CUCACCAACUCCCUCCUGAUACUUAUCAACUCAACCCAUUGAAACUAAUUAGCCUUCUCUCUCUAUCCCUCCUUAAUUUAGCUCGUGGGCAAGGUGGAGAGCUCGAGCUCGGGUGGAGUUGCCGUGGAGCUCGGAUCGACGCCGACGUCGCGCCACGGUGCCGUUCGAGCGGGUCUUCGUCAUCGUAGCGCUGCGAGGAAGCUAGGCGAGGGUGCGUUUUCGUCGUUCUCGACGCCGCGUCGAUGUCCGAUUAGCCUUUGAGCGUCGACCGUCGGCGUUUCGACUCCCUCUCGACGUAGGAGCAGCGGAUUUCGACGAGACUUGGUUCGUUGGAUUCGGGACUUCGAGAGGAAUCCACGAAGCCCUUACUUGCUGGUUUUGGUGGAGGUUUUCUUGAGUUUGGCGGGAGCGUGAUUUCUGGCCUUUGGAGGUUUGCGGAUUGAUCCAGCAGGGUGUUCCU